rnacentral:rRNA from 1 species
UACGAGGGGGGCGAGCGUUGUUCGGAAUUAUUGGGCGUAAAGGGUGCGUAGGCGGUUUGGUAAGUCUUAUGUGAAAUCUACAGGCUCAACUUGUAGUCUGCAUGAGAAACUGCCGGGCUUGAGUAUGGGAGAGGUGAGUGGAAUUCCUGGUGUAGCGGUGAAAUGCGUAGAUAUCAGGAGGAACACCUGUGGCGAAAGCGGCUCACUGGACCAUAACUGACGCUGAUGCACGAAAGCUAGGAGAGCAAACAGG